AUGGACUCCCACCCUAUCUCAAAAAGGCUAACAUGGCUCACACAACAGUUGAAGAUUAAGACCUUGAAGACAGUUUCUCUACUCAAACUAAUGAUGCUCCAGACAACAUUGGCUUCACUGUUGAUCAACAACGUGCUUUAUUGGCUUUACUUUAACAAACUAAUGGUUCUUCUGCUCCAAACAUACAACACCUUCACUCAAGUGGCACAACACACCCAGGUAUCACAUAUUCUUCCAUCUCUUCUACUUCAGUUCUACAGGCAGAUUGUUAAAAGCGAUUCGAUAUUGUGCAAAAAAUUAAUAGGUUUGAUCUGA